CAAAACUCAGCCCCCAUAUAAUUACCCAAAGAGAGUCAAAGACCCAAUUUUCAAACAAUCAGAUCAUACCUAGCCAGCAAGGUUUUUAAUCGGAGCUCCAACGAGUCACAGCCCAUCAAACACAGACCAUCUUUCGGAUCUUCAAAGGUUUGCUCUGAGGUAAUCUAAAUAUCAGUAGUAGCAGAAAGUAAUUGAUGGCAUAUGAUUUUUUUAUCAUCCAUCCAUCCAUCCAUCAAAUUUCCGACCAUGAUUUCAUUGUUUAAUAAUCCAUCAAAUUUCCGACCAUGUUUAAUAAUCCAUCAAAUUUCCGACCAUGGUUUCACUGUUUAAUAAUAAUCUUCUCAACAAAGAUGCAUGGCACUAAUGUAAUAACUGGUGACGGUGAUGAACUACGUAAUGACACCUUUCCUCACCAGGGAUUUGUUAAUGGAAUGAUAUGGCAAGUGGAGAGAAAGUUUUUUUUUCAGUUGGUGCCUAAAAACAAAGAAGUCAAUGUCAAUAUCGGUGUGAAUCCUUCUCUACAAGAAUAUCACAAAAAUAAUUCAAAGCUCGGAGCAGUUAUGGUCAAAGCAUGAAAUGACUAGUGUUGAGAGCCAUGAAAAUGAGGAAAAAAUGGUGAGGAAAAAAUGGUGGACCUAGUUCAUCAUUUUGGGCUUGUAAAAUAUGGAGUAUCAAAUCAAAAAUAUAAUAUAUUAAAAUUGAAAUAGAUAACUAUUAGGAUUUAUGAGUGUAUAUUUUUAUGGAGAAUGCUAACUACACAACCUUGAGAGCUAUUGUUCUUGUGCACUAAACAAAUUGUAUUUUUCUAUUAAAAGUUCACUAUCUAGAUUUUAUA